UACGUAGGGUGCAAGCGUUGUCCGGAGUUAUUGGGCGUAAAGAGCGUGUAGGCGGCCCGAUUAGUCCGCUGUGAAAGUCCAGGGCUCAACCCUGGAAUGCCGGUGGAUACUGUCGGGCUAGAGUCCGGAAGGGGCGAGUGGAAUUCCUGGUGUAGCGGUGAAAUGCGCAGAUAUCAGGAGGAACACCAAUGGCGAAGGCAGCUCGCUGGGACGUGACUGACGCUGAGACGCGAAAGCGUGGGGAGCAAACAGG
rnacentral:rRNA from 1 species